rnacentral:rRNA from 1 species
CCCUCCGGGGCGCAGCUGUGCUCGGAAAGGUACCAGCAGGUCGCCCAGCGUUAUCAGCAGUUCCUUGCUGGCGAUGGCCAUUGGAAGGCCUGAGCACAGCAGGUCAUAGACCACUCCCGCCAGACUGACAGAAGCAGCUGCCACGACAGUCAUGUCAUACGAGACCGUGCCGAGCAUCGACGGCAGCUCCUCGUCGGUCACCACCGGAACCUGCAGGCCCUUGCGCUCCAGGAGGACCUGAAGUCGUUCCCGUCCGCCCUGGUCGGACAGCCCAACAAAGCGAGGUCUGAAUUCAGACACCUGGUCUGCCAGCAGCUCGGCGUGUCUGUGCGCUGUGAGUCCGACAACAUGAUACCUGCCGCAUCCGCUUCGGACCACGUCAAGCGUCUGGGUCCCGAUGGAGC